rnacentral:rRNA from 1 species
UACCAGCUCUCCGAGUGGUAGGGAUGAUUAUUGGGCUUAAAGCGUCCGUAGCCGGCUUAGCAAGUCUCCUGUUAAAUUCAGCGACCUAAUCGUUGAGCCGCGGGAGAUACUACUAGGCUAGGAGGCGGGAGAGGUCGACGGUACUUCUGGGGUAGGGGUGAAAUCCUAUAAUCCCGGGAGGACCACCAGUGGCGAAGGCCGUCGACUAGAACGCGCUCGACGGUGAGGGACGAAAGCUGGGGGAGCGAACCGGAUUAGAUACCCGGGUAGUCCCAGCUGUAAACGAUGCGGGCUAGGUGUUGGGGUGGCUACGUGCCACUUCAGUGCCGCAGGGAAGCCAUUAAGCCCGCCGCCUGGGGAGUACGGCCGCAAGGCUGAAACUUAAAGGAAUUGGCGGGGGAGCACCACAAGGCGUGAAGCUUGCGGUUC